rnacentral:rRNA from 1 species
GAUGAACGCUGGCGGCGUGCCUAAUACAUGCAAGUCGAGCGAACAGACGAGGAGCUUGCUCCUCUGACGUUAGCGGCGGACGGGUGAGUAACACGUGGAUAACCUACCUAUAAGACUGGGAUAACUUCGGGAAACCGGAGCUAAUACCGGAUAACAUGUUGAACCGCAUGGUUCAACAGUGAAAGACGGUCUUGCUGUCACUUAUAGAUGGAUCCGCGCCGCAUUAGCUAGUUGGUAAGGUAACGGCUUACCAAGGCAACGAUGCGUAGCCGACCUGAGAGGGUGAUCGGCAACACUGGAACUGAGACACGGUCCAGACUCCUACGGGAGGCAGCAGUAGGGAAUCUUCCGCAAUGGGCGAAAUCCUGACGGAGCAACGCCGCGUGAGUGAAGAAGGUCUUCGGAUCGUAAAACUCUGUUAUUAGGGAAGAACAAAUGUGUAAGUAACUAUGCACGUCUUGACGGUACCUAAUCAGAAAGCCACGGCUAACUACGUG